CUGCGGUAAUCCCAGCUCCAGUAGCGUAUAUUUAAGUUGUUGUAUUUAAAAAGCUCGUAGUUGAAGCGUGAGUGUCAAAAACAAAAUGGGAGGGGAUGGGAGUAAAAGCUUCUGUCUCACCCAGUGGCAUUCAUAUUGUGGGCAACAGAUACUCAUCUGGACUGAAAGGUUCAGAGGAGACCAAUUUCUAUUGUCCAUUUUACCAUAAGUAAAUUAGAGUGUUUAAAGCAGGACUUUUCGUCCAUUGAAUAAUAGAGUAUGGGAUAAUAAAAGAUGAAAGAAAGAGGAUGCAUUCCUCGGACAAGAGCAAGUUCGAAAGGAUUUGUUUUUGUCCGGUCUUCUCUUCUUUAAUGAUUAAUAGGGGCAAUCGGGGCAAUUAGUAUUUCUGUACGAGUGGUGAAAUAUGGAGACUACAGAAAGACUAACCACUGCGAAAGCAUUUUGCAAGGGUGUUUUCAUUAAUCAAGAACGAAAGUUAAGGGAUUAAAGAUGAUCAGAUACCGUCGUAAUCUUAACUAUAAACAAUGUCGACAAAAGAUGGGAUUGAAAGCACGAAUGUGUUUUCUUUUCAAAAGAAAGGUACUAUUGAGUGGUACUAAUACAUUUCGGUGUGUUGGUAUUGCCGUUUGCUUGUCUCUUCCCGAGUUUCGUAAGAAAUUAAGAGUGAUCGGACUUUGGGGGGAGUAUGGUCGCAAGGCUGAAACUUAAAGGAAUUGACGGAAGGGCACCACCAGGUGUGGAACUUGCGGUUUAAUUUGACUCAACACGGGAAAACUCAACAGGUCAGGACAUGAUUAGGAUUGACAGGAUUAAUAGAUCUUUCAUGAUUUCAAGGGUGGUGGUGCAUGGCCGAUCUUAGUUCGUGGUAUGAAUUGUCGGCUUAAUUGUGAUAACGAACGAGACCAAUAGAGAUAACUAGUGGCCAGUGGAGGAUGCAAACGCAGUGGAUGCGUCUCUGGAAGAAGGGCAUGUUCCCCUUUCAGAUGUCAUCGUGUUCAUUGUAGUCUUCCACCAUGGUCGGGAGUAUGAUUCAAAGUGGAGGUGUCAAAGCCUUUACGAUUGUGCUCUCUAAUAAACAAAACAACUUCUUAUUUCGACUAUUGAUGUUCAAUCAAUGUAAGUUAUUGUCAAUAUCAGGUCUGUGAUGCCCUUAGAUGUUCUGGGCCACACGCGUGUUACAAUGGUAAAGAUCAGAGGGUUCUGGAAGUCGGAUCUAAUGUGAUAGGAGGGGAGGUGUCAAAGCCUUUCUUCCUGUUGCGUUUCGGGUCUCUUUCUCUGCUUGACAGAAAUGUCUGGCUAAUCCUUUUUCGAAUCUUUUCAACCAUAUCUGGGAUAGAUGCUUGGAAUUUUUCAUCUUCAACUUGGAAUACCUAGUAAGCACAAGUCAACAACUUGUGUUGAUUACGUCCCUGCCCUUUGUACACACCGCCCGUCGCUCCUACCGAUUGAAUUGUCCGAUGAGUUGCAAGGAGAGCAAUAGAAUGUUGCAAAACGUUCUGCCCAAAUUGCAACAAAUCUUAUAAAAGAGAGGAAGGAGAAGUCGAACAAGGAACCC
rnacentral:rRNA from 1 species